AGAGCGAACGCUGGCGGCAGGCCUAACACAUGCAAGUCGAGCGCUCCGCAAGGGGAGCGGCAGACGGGAGAGUAACACGUGGGAACGUACCCUUCAGUUCGGAACAACCCAGGGAAACUUGGGCUAAUACCGAAUACGUCCGUAAGGAGAAAGAUUUAUCGCUGAAGGAUCGGCCCGCGUCUGAUUAGCUUGUUGGUGAGGUAACGGCUCACCAAGGCGACGAUCAGUAGCUGGUCUGAGAGGAUGAUCAGCCUCACUGGGACUGAGACACGGCCCAGACUCCUACGGGAGGCAGCAGUGGGAAUAUUGGACAAUGGGCGCAAGCCUGAUCCAGCCAUGCCGCGUGGGUGAUGAAGGCCCUAGGGUUGUAAAGCCCUUUCGGCGGGGAAGAUAAGUGACGGUACCCGCAGAAGAAGCCCCGGCUAACUUCGUGCCAGCAGCCGC
rnacentral:rRNA from 1 species